GGGCGUUUGGUCUAGUGGCAUGAUUCUUCUUUAGGUAGAACAGGUCGCCGGUUCAAUUCCGGCAACGAUGU